GACGAACGCUGGCGGCGUGGAUUAGGCAUGCAAGUCGAACGGUAUCAUCCUUUCGGGGGUGAGAGAGUGGCGAACUGGUGAGUAACACGUAGGUUAUCUACCCUCAAGACGGGGACAACCCAGGGAAACUUGGGCUAAUACCGGAUGUGAGCAACUUUUAGUUGUUUGAAAGGUGGCGUAAGCUGUCGCUUGGGGAUGAGCCUGCGUCCUAUUAGUUAGUUGGUGAGGUAACGGCUCACCUAGGCAAUGAUAGGUAGGCGGCCUUAACGGGUGGUCGCCCACACUGGGAUUGAGAUACGGCCCAGACUCCUACGGGAGCAGCAGUCGAGAAUAGUCUACAAUGGUCGGAAGACUGAUAGUGCGACGCCGCGUGAACGAUGAAUCCCUUCGGGGUGUAAAGUUCUUUUAUAUGUGAGCAGUGCUUCUUAUAUUAACAGUAUGGGGAAGAGAUAUUAGCAAUAUGAAUAAGCAACGGCUAACUCCGUGCCAGCAGCCGCGUAAUACG
rnacentral:rRNA from 1 species